rnacentral:rRNA from 1 species
CGGGAAACCGGAGCUAAUACCGGAUAAUAUAUUGAACCGCAUGGUUCAAUAGUGAAAGACGGUUUUGCUGUCACUUAUAGAUGGAUCCGCGCCGCAUUAGCUAGUUGGUAAGGUAACGGCUUACCAAGGCAACGAUGCGUAGCCGACCUGAGAGGGUGAUCGGCCACACUGGAACUGAGACACGGGUCCAGACUCCUACGGGAGGCAGCAGCG